GGUCCCUACGGGACGCAGCAGUGGGGAAUAUUGGGCAAUGGACGCAAGUCUGACCCAGCAACGCCGCGUGAAGGAAGAAGGCUUUCGGGUUGUAAACUUCUUUUAAGGGGGAAGAGGAGAAGACGGUACCCCUUGAAUAAGCCACGGCUAACUACGUGCCAGCAGCCGCGGUAAUACGUAGGUGGCAAGCGUUGUCCGGAUUUACUGGGUGUAAAGGGCGUGCAGCCGGGCCGACAAGUCAGAUGUGACAUCCGCGGGCUUAACCCGCGAACUGCAUUUGAAACUAUAGGUCUUGAGUGCCGGAG
rnacentral:rRNA from 1 species